rnacentral:rRNA from 1 species
AACGAACGCUGGCGGCAUGCCUAACACAUGCAAGUCGAACGAGACCUUCGGGUCUAGUGGCGCACGGGUGCGUAACGCGUGGGAACCUGCCCUUAGGUUCGGAAUAACUCCCCGAAAGGGGUGCUAAUACCGGAUAAUGUCUUCGGACCAAAGAUUUAUCGCCUUUGGAUGGGCCCGCGUUGGAUUAGCUAGUUGGCAGGGUAAAAGCCUACCAAGGCGACGAUCCAUAGCUGGUCUGAGAGGAUGAUCAGCCACACUGGGACUGAGACACGGCCCAGACUCCUACGGGAGGCAGCAGUGGGGAAUAUUGGACAAUGGGCGAAGGCCUGAUCCAGCAAUGCCGCGUGAGUGAUGAAGGCCUUAGGGUUGUAAAGCUCUUUUACCCGGGAUGAUAAUGACAGUACCGGGAGAAUAAGCUCCGGCUAACUCCGUG